AAUUGCCUUUGAUACUGGGUGUCUUGAGUAUGAGAGAGGUGUGUGGAACUCCGAGUGUAGAGGUGAAAUUCGUAGAUAUUCGGAAGAACACCAGUGGCGAAGGCGACACACUGGCUCAUUACUGACGCUGAGGCUCGAAAGCGUGGGGAGCAAACAGGAUUAGAUACCCUGGUAGUCCACGCCGUAAACGAUGAUUGCUAGUUGUCGGGAUGCAUGCAUUUCGGUGACGCAGCUAACGCAUUAAGCAAUCCGCCUGGGGAGUACGGUCGCAAGAUUAAAACUCAAAUAAAUUGACGGG
rnacentral:rRNA from 1 species